CACGUAGGGGGCGAGCGUUGUCCGGAAUCAUUGGGCGUAAAGAGCUCGUAGGCGGCUCGGUAAGUCGGGUGUGAAACCCCCAGGCUCAACCUGGGGACGCCACCCGAUACUGCUGUGGCUAGAGUCCAGUAGGGGAGUGUGGAAUUCCCGGUGUAACGGUGAAAUGCGCAGAUAUCGGGAGGAACACCAGCGGCGAAGGCGGCACUCUGGGCUGGAACUGACGCUGAGGAGCGAAAGCGUGGGUAGCAAACAGG
rnacentral:rRNA from 1 species